CCUUAGUUACCAGCACGUUAUGGUGGCGACUCUAAGGAGACUGCCGGUGGACAAACCGGACGGAAGGUGGGGAGUGACGUCAAGUCAUCAUGGCCCUUACGGCCUGGGCUACACACGUGCUACAAUGGUCGGUACAAAGGGUUGCCAAGCCGCGAGGUGGAGCUAAUCCCAUAAAACCGAUCGUAGUCCGGAUCGCAGUCUGCAACUCGACUGCGUGAAGUCGGAAUCGCUAGUAAUCGUGAAUCAGAAUGUCACGGUGAAUACGUUCCCGGGCCUU
rnacentral:rRNA from 1 species